AUCAGCUGAUAUUGAUUUCCUCCAGACUAACACAGCAACAUUUACAGUACAGAGGCCGGCUGAUCAGAACAGACAAGAUGAAAGUCGCUCUGCUGUUCGCCCUGGUGUUCACCCUUUCCGUUGUUCAUGGAUGUAUCAGACCAUGUCAGCAGAGAGUUGACAGCAAUGCGUACAACAGAUUUGCUGGGAGACACUUUGUUCAGGGCUGCUUCAACAGACGAUCACGCUGUGCCUGGGGACGGUACCUAAAGAGGUCUGGACUCUGCAGAAGGGGUAGGCAGACCUUCAUCGAGAGCAGGGAUCAGCCGCGACUUAGACAGAUCUGUAAUGGCUUUGGACGCCGUGUUUCCAAUGGUAAUGACCUAUGUACGAGUUCCUCAAGAUUCGUGGUGUAUGAGCUCAGAGUCAACUGCAGAUGCAAAGUUUUAAGUGUCAAGAAAAGAUGGAGAUUUGUGGUUGUGGCUUGUGAUUUGGUUGGACGCUGUUGCCUUCCCACCCGUUUUGCGAGGGCCACAUGCAUCAAGCCAAACUCAUGGGCUCAAGCCUGCAGAUAAAACCGGCAUGCUGCUUAGCAAAGUUUUAGAUGGGUAAGAGAUUAAAUCUCAGUUGCCACGCUUAGCAUUGCCCUGAAAUCUAAAACUUUUGUCAAGUUUAGCUAAUUGAAGCCUUUUUUGCUUACAUUAAAAAAAUAAAUUAACAUAUGAAAAAUGUGCCAAAUGUAGGCACAUUUAUUCCCAGCUGACAUCAGUAUGACAUCAGAAAGACGUUGGACACUUACGUUGCAUAGAUGUUAAAUUUUGGUUGGAAUAACUGGUUGACGAUAUCUGAAAUGUCUCGCAACUUUAGAAUUUCACGUUGUGUGGACAUUAACAUUAUGGCCUCAUGACUAAAUUUCAUUAUUCUACGUCAAGAUGACGUUAGCAUGAGACUUUUAGAAGACGUUGGAUUUUGGUUACUUAACAACCUUAAAACCAAACCAACAAAAUAUUGUCAUCUGUCCUCAGAAUUCUACGUGAAAUUGUCCUGACAUUAAAUUUUCACCUGACGUCACAACCUAAAUUCAACCAAAUAUCAACGUCUAACAACGUCAGUAUCCAGCUGAGGUUGGUGUAAAUGCCCUUCAUUUUGUCAAAGUAAAAGUCCUCUGCCACUUCAGUGUUUUAGUGGCAAAUGCACAUGGUUUAAAUAUUAAUGGACAUAUGUCACCUGUCAAAAUCUACACCUAUGUUAAACUGUUGUGUAUCCUUUUCCAUGAUGAGGUCAAUUCAUAUUGUCACUCUGUUCUCUACAUAUAUAAAUGUAUCCAUGCACUCUCCAUAACAGGAUCUGUUGUGAAGCUGUAUUAAAAUCCUGUUUGUUUUGCUUUUG